rnacentral:rRNA from 1 species
AUGCAGUCGAGCGGUAAGGCCCUUCGGGGUACACGAGCGGCGAACGGGUGAGUAACACGUGGGUGAUCUACCUUGCACUUCGGGAUAAGCCUGGGAAACUGGGUCUAAUACCGGAUAUGACCUGAGGUUGCAUGACUUCGGGUGGAAAGAUUUAUCGGUGCGAGAUGGGCCCGCGGCCUAUCAGCUUGUUGGUGAGGUAACGGCUCACCAAGGCGACGACGGGUAGCCGACCUGAGAGGGUGACCGGCCACACUGGGACUGAGACACGGCCCAGACUCCUACGGGAGGCAGCAGUGGGGAAUAUUGCACAAUGGGCGCAAGCCUGAUGCAGCGACGCCGCGUGCGGGAUGACGGCCUUCGGGUUGUAAACCGCUUUUGACAGGGACGAAGCGCAAGUGACUGUACCUGUAGAAUAAGGACCGGCCAACUACGUGCCAGCAGCCGCGGUAAUACGUAGGGUCCGAGCGUUGUCCGGAAUUACUGGGCGUAAAGAGCUUGUAGGCGGUUCGUCGCGUCGUUUGUGAAAACUUGGGGCUCAACCUUAAGCUUGCAGGCGAUACGGGCGGACUAGAGUACUUCAGGGGAGACUGGAAUUCCUGGUGUAGCGGUGAAAUGCGCAGAUAUCAGGAGGAACACCGGUGGCGAAGGCGGGUCUCUGGGAAGUAACUGACGCUGAGAAGCGAAAGCAUGGGUAGCAAACAGGAUUAGAUACCCUGGUAGUCCAUGCCGUAAACGGUGGGUACUAGGUGUGGGGCUCCUUCCACGGACUCCGUGCCGUAGCUAACGCAUUAAGUACCCCGCCUGGGGAGUACGGCCGCAAGGCUAAAACUCAAAGAAAUUGACGGGGGCCCGCACAAGCGGCGGAGCAUGUGAUUAAUUCGAUGCAACGCGAAGAACCUUACCUGGGUUUGACAUACACCGGAAACCUGCAGAGAUGUAGC